AGAGAGGGUCUGGAGCUCAGGGAUAAUGGCCCACCUCGCUGGCCCCACGCAGCCAGCGACUAAAGGCCUGGCCUGGGUGUCCCUGCUGCCAGGAACAGCCUUUGGCAAGCACUUAUUUUUCUUAUUUUACUUAUUAUUCAGGAGGUACUUUUAUCUUUGUGUGCUCAUUAAUCUUCACAAUCACACCUACAAAGAUAUUAUUAUUUUCAUUUGAAGAUGGGGAACAAGUCAGAGAAGAAUUAAAUGACUUGUCCAAGAUCACAGAGCUGGUGAAUGUGGAGCCAGGAUUAACCCAGGCAGAUAUGUUCCACAGCCUUUGCCCUUAGUCAGGGACACAAAAACCUGGAAGAGAGAUUAAGCCCCCAGCUUUCCAUACCAGGCACCACCACAGCUUACCUCCAAUGCAGCCUCUUUUGGCCCCAGCCCCUGGGCCACAGGCAGUCUCUGCAGUGACCCUCCAAACCUGCGCAGCAGAGGGACGGCACAGCCUCGGGAGUAUCCCCAGAGCCAUCCACCACGGACCCUCGUCCCGAAGACCCACCGUCUCCCAGGAGGUGCAGACCCCUCGGAAGGGUGGCUCAGGGUCCACAGAAGGGGCUACUGCCCUGCCUCCCGCCUACAUGUUUCCUGGACGCCUCACCGGCAGGCAGCACUCAGGAGGAAAGUUGCUCAGCUGGCCAGGCAGGUCUGCCUCAGCAGUAACAGGACACAGGAGGAAGCGCAGGGUGUGUUAACCCCUUCCUGCUGACCAGGCAGGCAGCACCUUCAGAGGUGAGAAGCCUGCCUGCCAGGGACAGAUCCAGGGCCAGUGCUGGGGACUCACCCCCACUCUGCAGUGAGUUAACCCUUCUUCUGCCUCCUCAGGGGAAACAGGGUGGGCAGGGGAGGCUCCAACACCCACUCCCCCCAACCCUUCCUCCUCUGGACCAGGACCACCAUUCCCUGGGGCUGGCCCUUUGGUGGACUACUGCCUUGUUUGGCUUUCCCUCUGGUCCCCGCGGCCACCCUGAAGGAGGCGUCAGGACUUUAGGCACAGCGCCCUCUCUGCGUCUCUGACUUGAGAUCAGGCUCAGAGUGCCCUGCUCUCUCCAAACCUGCCGUAUCUUGACUGGAGGACGCCUGAGGCCCAUGAGGUCCUCAUCAGAAGCACCAAAUGCAAAACCAGACCCCAUGGACCUUCACAAAUCUCAGUGAUGUUACCAGCAGCAAAUGGAACUUCUGAUUAAAUGUGAUCAAAUGCACAAUGCAAUCCCAGUUACUCAGCUGUCUGCACCAGAAGAAGACAAAGCAUUGCCAUUAGACUCCUUGACAUAUCUAACAUGGCUUUGUGGAUCUCUCUUCCAAAACCAACAACAGUGACAAAAAGAACAGAACACAACAUCUAGGUGAAUCCCUAAGGACCUACAGCUUAAGAACAUGUUUUAUGUUAUAAAUUCUCUCCAGUGUUUCAAAACCCUUACAGCUGCUGGGAAUUCACUCUACGUGGUGCUCACCCAAGGAACAGACCUCUCAAGACACACCAAAUACAGAGAAGAAGAGGGAGCAACAGAAGGGACAGGCUUGUGCUCUGUGCCCCCAGCAUCUAUUUCCAAAGAGCAGCCAGAAUGAUCUAAAGCAUGAAUCGGACUAUAUUCCUCUAUUCAAAACAGUGUGUCCUCACAAUGGCCUACAAAGCCCCACAUGACCCAGGAGUCUCUCUCCUGGUGGUCUCUGCCCUUCUGUCCUCUUGGCCCACUCCCUCCUCUACCCACGGCAUUCUCCUAGAUGUCCACAUGGCCACUCCUCACUUCUCUUCAAGUCUUUGUUCAACGUCACCUACCCCCACCUACCAACCACCUGCGCUUUCCCUACCCCCUAGCCCUGGUUGCUCUCUUUUUCCCAUAGUGCUCAUCACCUAACAUACCACAUCUGUUACUUAUUCAUGAGGUCUGUCUUGAAUCCUAGAAUGCCCUUCACAAGGGCAGCUUUGCUUCCAUCACAGAUGCAGGAGGCACUUACUGUUUGUGGGAUAAACAGAGUGAACCAGGAGGUGAGGGAGCAGAGGAAGGUAUGCAGGCAGGUGUGAGUGACGGGAGGGCUGAGUGCCAGGUUCUUGC